CCUUGAAGUGCUGCAUUUGUACCUAUGAAGCUCCUAUGAUCACAGUGUAGGCAGGGCAUGAUUAAAGAAGAAGAGCCCACCUUUCUGCUGCCCAGCCAAGUUUCAUGAACUUCUUGAGAAGAAAAAAUAAAAGAAGAAAAAAAGGUUGUACAGGGGAGACUUUACAGACAGGAGCAAGCUGGAUACAAGGCCCUGUCUAUGAGUGGGGAUUAGUUCUGCUUCUUGAAAGUUUACUUGGGCUUGUGUUGUUUCAUCUCUGUCUUCUCUGCUGAGACUGCAGUUGUUCAGGCAUGCUCAGGGAUGCUUGCGGUAAGCAGCUCUUCCUUUAUUUUGAGGUUUGGUUUGCACAACAGUACAAAUGGGGACAGUUUCCCCCUUCUCGGAUGUGAUGCUUAUUGCAUUCACUUCCAUUAACAAGCUGUUGGAAGCAAGUUAAUAUCACAUUAAUUUACUCUUACAUCUGAUAUUUCCUGCCUGUUAUAAGGGCUGCUUAGAAGAGAUCAUGUCCUAGAUAGUAUCUCAUAAAAGACCUGAAGUCCCCUCCCCCCAAAAGUGGAAUUAUAAUUAUUAAUUCAAAAGAAUUAUUUAUAUCACAAUGAAAUAUUAGCAACAAAUAAAUAAACAAGAUGUUGGCAUACAUCUUAUUGACUUUUCAUAACUGCUUUGGGCCUGAUUUUUUGAGGUUAACCAGGUAACUUGUUUUGAGAUGUACUUGAUUUUCUAGCCUUACCAUCUCAUACGUCUUCUGCAGGUGAGCCCCACUUACAAGCAACUUCUACAGUAGCCAGUCUCAUGUCACCAACUGACAGCCAGCUACUCUAACAUCUCUGUGGGAGGCUUGUGAUAAAGCCAUCUGGACUCUGGUAAUACAGGACACUGGCAGCUGUAGCAGAAAACUUCAGGUUCUCUGAUGACUGUGGGUUUAGUGCCAGUGUAAAAUCAAAGUGGAAAUGGCCUAAACCAGAAGUACUGAAAGAAAGAUUAGUCACUGACAUAUGAGGGAGAAAAUACAACACCCUGUGAGAGCUGAUCCUUGUAGUGUUGCCCAGGCACCCAGUACUGCACUGUGUGGCCAAAAAUUACCUGUGAGCAAGACACAGGCUAUUGCUUGCAGACUUCAGGGCCAAGAAAAUCCUCUCAUAUCUCGGUGUGUGCUGGCUGUAGUUCCAGGCUCUGUCAGUGCCGUAGGAACAAGCUGUCUGGUUUCCCUCUCCGGAAAGUUUGCAGCUGCUAGGAAGUACCCCCAGGAAGCACUGGCAUUCCCAAGGCACUGAGCACUGGUGACAAACUCAUAGAUUUGUGGGGGUUUGAGGUUGAUGUCCCUAUCUAGGUUUAAUGGCAUCAUUCCACUCCACUUAACUGCUUCCAUUUUACUAAUUUUUCCAAAUUUUCAGUCUGCAAAUCAAAGAUUCUCAUUGCAGCACAACACAGAAUUUUUUAAGUAAUACAUUAUGAUUUUUAUUUUCCUGAGUAUAUGCAAAACAGUAUGGUUGUAGUAUAUAGGAACAAUACCUAUCUUAAAGGAACUGUUGUCUAGAUAUAUUAUCUUUUAGAGUAGUUGGUAGUUAAAAGCUGUCCUUAUUGCACCGAGGAAGUAAAAUCCACACUUGUUAGGCUCUUAUUUCAUCCUCUUUCCUAGAGCCUCACCUUUUUGGCCCUGCUAACUUCCAUGUCCAUAAUGAACUCCAUUUAGCUUCCCUGCAGCAGGACCUUGUCUUUGUAAAUCACUGACCCAGCGGCAUGAAGCUGCAUAGGAGAGCAGGUUAUAUUUUUUUCUAGAUUUUCUCUACUUCCUUCAGCACUUGUAGCUUCUAAGAAACUGCAGAACAAGCAAGUAUAAAAGAUUAGGAAGAUGGCCUGAAAAACUAAUGUUUAAAAGAGGUCUCAUUGUACUCAGUUCUCCACUAGCUGCCAACUAUAGACUGAUGGCUGAAAUCUUAGAAGGAGUUAAUGAGAUUAGGUCUUUAGUGACUGAUUGCUUAAUGCUGUCUUCUCAUUCAGUGGCGUAAUUUUUUUUUUCUUCUUUUCAGUAACUAUAAAUAAACUUCUCAUGGAGAUCAGCUGGGACCUCAUAGCAGAAAUCUUAUUUAAAACAACUGGAAAUUACUUCGCCUGGGCUUAAGCCACAGCGUAACAGAUACCUUCUCCUCCAGCCCUGCUUUUCUGUUCUGGAAAUGUACAGGAGGGAAGGGCAACUGUCUCAUCCCCAGUUUUGCCCAGUUGAAGAUAUGCAUGCAGGUCUGUGCCUGUAGCUGUUACUUCAGAAAAGCAGAAAAGAUUCUUCUCACAAGAUAUCAUAACAGGGAAACGUCCUUCUGGAACUUGACUCAGGCCAACUAUGUCUUCUCCCUGCCUGGAGAAAACCUUUGUCCUCCAGGCUGAAGACAGGCACUUGAAAGUAAACCUACCUGGUCUGUCCCUAUGAACCAGCAGUGUUGAAGGUUAAUUAGAAGUGCUGAAGGAGAAAAUCACUUUUUCCAUGUGUGCACCACUUGAGAACCACAGGAUCGGGACUAUUUAUUUGGAUCGCUUUAUUCUUUGUUGUCAUCCAAUGGGACAGGCUGAGUCCCAUUUCUCUUCCACGUGAAGAUUUCAGUUUCCUUGGACUACCAUAAAUCCUAAGCAGUGAUCCUGGUUUUUUUUCCUGACAGCAACUCCCAUUGGAGUUUACUUUGGACUUCCUGAAGAGGUGGUCAGAGAGACUAUUCUCAUGGGCUCCAAAAUCCUCCUCUGCUUAGAAUGAUGGGGGGGAGCAUUAGCACAGGCUGGCAUACAGCACCACCUGGGAGAUCUUAUGUUACUCAUUGUGCUCCCCUUCUCUCAGCAGGGCAUGCCCUCGGUGCAGAUAAGGAUGUAUUAAGUGACUGAAAGACAUCAGUUGUUCCCCAAAAGGUGUCAGUUCAGUGUUGCUGUAGAUGAGAGAACUGUUCCAUUUCUGUCCUUAAUCUGAAAUAAUUUUCAGAUUGCUUGCUGAUGGUUGUUCUUUGCUGAAUGGGACCUCUGCAUAACACUAGAAGGAAUAUUCUGUUUAACGUUCUGUUUCCCAACCUUCUGUCUUUCCUUCACCCAUUAUGACUGCCAGCACAUUUGUGAGUUUUUCAUUUGAAUGAAAUUUUGCUCUAGCUGUGGGCAGAACAUAGAAAAAAAAUCAAUAGCUAUUAAGAUAUGUGAUACUGCAGGAUAUGGGAUCCUACUGGUAGAAAAUAUGAGGACCAUUUAUUUAUUCACAUACCCGAGUGCCUGCAAUCAUAAUCUGACCUCACUGCCCAGGUCCUGAUCUUCCCCCAGGUUUUCAGUGGGGUUUUUUGUUGCCAAAUGCCGAGCAGAGAAUAUUCUGCCCAUUGCAUUCUGCUGUGUUCUGUGCUAGUUUCUUGUGAAAGUGCCUUCAGGUGCUUUCCCAGAGCUCACAUUUAUUUGUUCAAGAACAAGUUAAGAAAAAAGAGUGACUGGAGGUUUUAAAACCCAUUUUCUUUUUAUCUACUGUUCUGUUAAAGCUUUCCUUCUAAGCAGCUUACAAUAAUAUAAACAACCUGCAGAAAAAACUCCCUGUCAAUCUACUGCUAUAAAUUCCUAGAGGUCCAGGGGCUUCAGGAGCUGGAUAUUGCACCUACAGGCCCUGGAGUUAGAGAUAACUAUCAGAUAAUUCACUCCUCUAAAAAAUACUCCCUUAUAUUCAGAGUGAGUGGAGAGCAGGAAGGGGGAAAAGAAGGUGGGAGGAGGUGUGCUGAGAGCAGAGACAGGAGUGGGGUACCUGGUGUGUGGGAUGAGGAUGGAGACCAUGGGACACCAGUGUGGCAGCUGAGCAAGUGCUCACCUCUCCCUGGUGCCCCAGGCUGUGUGCUUUACUGAGCUCCUCAGCUGCACACCUCCUUCCUCAGGGUAAAACACACCUUUUUUUUUCAGCUUGUGUGGGUGCAAACUAGGAUCCCAGCCCCUGGGGCUGCUUUGGCACAGAGAGCAGCCAUGUCGGCAGCACACUGUGCUGCUUCGCCUUUUGGAGGUGCUCAGGAAUAACGAACAAAAUCUAAUUAAGAAAAGUGAAAUACAGUAUGUUAAGUCAGCUGCAUCGGGGUGUGAAAUGGAGCCAUUAUAAAACAAAACACUGUAAAGCAGCAACUCAGAAACUCCACAGCCUUACGGGGAUGCUGACUGACUUCCCUGGAAUCACAGAGGGAACGCACCGGUGAGACCUAAUAAUGUGUUGGACUGUCACUGGCCAUUGCAGGGCUCUGCUGGUCAGCACGGCUCCUACUCAAAAUGGGAAGCAGGAGAGGGGAGCAUGUAAUGGGCAUUAGGGCAGCACACCAGCCUGGCCACAUUGGGAGGGGAGGAACAGGAAAGGGGGUGAUGAGACAGCACAAGUGCAAUAGAAAGAGGAGGGAAGGGAAAAAAGCUGGGCAGUGAGGGGUGAACAUGAAGGGCAGGUAUGGAAUAAGGCUGAGCCUUUCUCACCUGAAGAUGAAAAACUCUGCAGGUAUCAGAGUACGUGUUUACCAUCCGAAAGCUGAGCCUGCCCUUGCCCAUUGGCUGUGAGAGCUGCUCUGCUCAGGUGGCAGAGGACAAACCAACAAAAACAACAAACCACCACCAAAACAACGCUGCCCCUUCCCCCCCUUUUUAAGAUUCUGGUGUUCUGAGAUCAACAAGUAGAACUUUAAAAUAUGGAAGUUAUAUUUGUUCUUCAUGAUGCUACAUUUUAUGAAAGGAUAGAAUUAAUUCUACUAUUUGAAUUGAAUUUUAAAAGAAUUGGAAAAAAUUAUUUAAUCUUGCUGGAAAAACAUCUUUUGAAACAGGAAGGAAUAGUUUCAAUAUCCUUAAAAUAUUUUUAAUUGUAAUUGUUUGCAGUUGCCUCCCUCUAAAAGUAAUAGAAAGAGCAUCUUGAAUGCAUUACAGUAAGUUCAGCACAAGUGAAUCUGCUUUCAAAUAUGCUAGAAAGGAUAUUCACAGUAAUAGGAUUAGUACAGAAAACAUGUUGUCUUUCUAUUUAAAAUCCUAAGGUUAAUACAUCUUGGUUCCACCUCUCCAAAAAAUUUUAUAACUGCUUUUGCCAGUCAUUACUUAAUGAUGUUUCACUGUUAAAUGUUCACAAGAAAUAUCUAACACCUGCUGGGAAAAUUAUCUGUAAAGGUUAUCUCAGUAAGGCUUGGAUGUAAAAUGUCAAAGGACAACUUCAUUUCUUUCCCCUUCUUCACCCUCCCACCCCUACUACAGGCAGGAAAACUGGGCGAACGUUUGCAAAGCUGUCAGAGAGGCAGGAGCCUGCUUCCUUCCAGCAUCUCUCUGUUCUCAAGAGGGCCUUGGGAUGUACUUUAUUUAAGCUAACAGGUUGUCCGAAGGCAGAAAACUGUAACAGAGAAAAUUAAUAAUUUACUAAAGCUUUGCUGGAGAACAGCAGACCUCAACCUCUGCCAUUGUCACCCAAAGGAGAAGUGAACAGUGAGGCCAAGGGGCACCUGCUGCCUGUGUGGAGGGGACCCUGCUGCCUCAGGGGCACAGGCACACAGAAGAAUUACCCCUGGCUUCAGGAUAGCAACAUGUCAACUACAGUUCCCUUUGCUUCAGGUGUCAGCAUUCUGUUAUUCCCUUACUCUGGCAAAAAAUGUGGCUAAACAUUUCGUGUUGCAACCCCCCCAAAACCCAAUGUAUUCAAUACACCAGCUUUAGUCUUAGUUGUAUCUAGUAGGCUUUCUGACCCUGUCCCCCAAAACCAAGACACUGCAAAGCAGCUUUAAGAUUCAUAUUCAAAUAAUGGUGGUGGGGGCUUUUUUGUUUAGUUUUUUUGGGGUUUGGUUUUUGGUUGGUUGGUUUUUUGUUUUUUUUUUUUUUUUGCUACUCUGAAGAUAUUUCUUUGGAACAGAUGCCACACAGAUGUUUUGAGAUUAUUUUUUUUUUCUGCUUGAUAACUGCAAAUAUUUGUGAAUGCAGCUGUUCAUAUAGGUGAGGGACCUAUGCAUGAGACCAAAGUUGCUGACAGAAAAGUUUUUGCAGGAUCAGGUCUAUAUUAUACCCUACCUCUCUCCAAAGCAGCAAGGAAGAAAGUCUCUUCAUGCUUCUGAGAUCAGCAUUCAUUCUCCAGAUUAGUCUAGGUGCUCACAACUAGCCAUGCAUCUUUGUAAUGCAAACUGAUUAAAACAGAAACAUUCUGGAGACCACAGAAUCAUAGAGUCUGAUGAAGGGCUGGGAUUUGUGAGAGAAAGGAUUUUUCAUUUUUAAGUGCAGCCCAUGGAGGGAGAUAUACUGGUCAAGGACAGAACUUUAUCUCCUUUCCUGGUGUUUUUCAAAUGGGUGAGUCUGGUUUUGGCUUUUCUGUUAUUUGGGUUUCGUUUAUUUGUUUACUUUGUCUCCUGUAGCCAGGGAACAGUCACAAGUGUCUGAUUAUCAGAGCUCUGAUUGGAUUCAGGGGUAAGUGUUACAGUCAAUGCUCUCCACUCCUCCUCUUGAGUGUGCUGAGCUCUGUAUUGAUGCAACUGAGUGAAAUACCUCUUGUGUAUCUAUUGGAAUCAGGCCAACACAGUAUCUCUCUGUCAGUACCAUCUUUCCUAUCUUGAUGUGUCUGUGACAAAAUUUUUUUUUUCCUAUGUAGUAUCUUGAUAAUGAGGUUUAUUGACUUUACCUGAUACAGACAUUUUGCACCUAUAGUAAAGAAUUUUGAAGAAAGAAAGUCUUUAUAAGCCCCCAAAAACACUGUCCAGGUAAAGUUUGAUGUGUGACACAUGUAUACAUGUUCUUACUCAUUGUGGUUUUAGAUAACUAUGUUCACAAUUGGUAACAAAAGCAUAGAAAUACCUUGGGAGUAAGAAGGGACUGUUUCUGUUCCUUAAGCUUUGAUAACAUGUUGACAUCCUUAGUGAAACUACAGAAAGGGUCAACAUCCUUUGCUGUCUUUUCCAGUGACAUGUUUUGGAAUAUUUCUCUUUUUAUUCACAUGCCCUCUCUGUUCUCAGAUGAAUACAGUUGUAGCUCUCUCUUGCGGACAGCUCUUUUCUGUUUUGUGCUGUGUCACACAGGUACAGAUUUCUGACAGCUGCAAAACAUACCUCAGAUAAUUCACUGAAUCCUGGUGGUGUGACAAGCAAAACCCUUGAAAAUCCCCACUGCUUUUGUAACAGGAAACCCGUGAUGUUGGGUUCAUAAAGGAUGGCUUUGCAGGACUAUGAGAAAAUCCUCAAUGUGGUUUUGGAGAUUUAAAAAAAAACCCAAAACUCUGCUAUUAUAUUUGUGACAAACAAAGUUUGCAUCACUUUCCAAGUUUAUGACCUUGACAACAUAAAUGCAUACAAAACUUCAUCUCUGGGAUGAUAUCUUUUUGCAUUUUUUUCUUAAACAGUUGUUUUCCCCUGGAGAUAUCCUUGUCCCUUAUGCCAAUCUUUCCUGCUUCUUUUUUGCAACAUGUGGAAACAUUGGCCCCAGCUGUUCUGUCGUUUGGAAAGACGUCAACACAGCUGGUGAUUAUAAGGAGAAAUGUUGUCUAAUGGGCACAAAAGGACGUGAUGGCCACUAGCAGAUUCCUGGUCUGUGGGUAGCACUGCUGCUAACCUGCAGGGAGAGGCCAUGUGCCAGUGUCCUCUCUGGGUCUGCCUAAGAGCACAGCCCUGGCACUGUUGCACUAAUGUCUGCCGCCUUCCCUCAGCUCCAAAAUACGAUCUCUUCCCAGCCUCAGUUGGUCACUUCACUCUUCUAUUCCAUGUGUUUCUGCAGGGGUGAGGUAAAUCUGUUCGUGCUAUGUGGUGUUCAGCAGUCAACUCAAUGGGCUACGUACAAACCUACCAAGAAAGGCAGAUUAUUAUUCUGGAUCCUCUUUAUCAGAGUGAGUGUUGAAAAGGGAAAACAAGGUGUAAGCACAGCCUUUCCUCCAGGUGGGAUCACAGUGAGCACUGAAGUUUCUGACUUGGCACAUUGUUUCCCUUUUCUGGAUUAAUCCCAAAAAUAGAAAAAAGGUUUCUAAUAAGGCUGGUUGUGUUAUCAGAUAUCUUGUGAUUACAGAAGCAUGAGCUGUGGCAUGCACAUCUGUACACACACCCCCCCCCCCCCCCCCAGAAUGGCUCUACUGCAGAGGGAGUUUUUCAUUUUAUUCUUAAAUAAUAAACCUUUUGCAACCACCCCCAUAUUGUCAACACUCAUCAGGGAAGGACACUGGCUAGAUAGAGAGUCAACGACAGAAUCCACAGAAAGAUUGUUUACAUGGUCACACAAAGCAGAAGGGUUGUCUGUUAAGAGUUGGGGCACUGUGUAUGUCCUAUAGAUGGCUCCUGAAUUUGUGCAUUGAGGCCCUGAAAGGUAGGGAUGUUAAUUGUGAUUCUUGUGCACCAAACGAACCCAAGCAUGGAUUCUCUGUUGCUCACCCACAGCUUUCAGGUGGUCAUUACCUUUUUUGCUCUUGAUCUGCACUGACUUGAAGGGGUGGGAUGUGGCUUGCCAAGGAGCCAGCUUCCAGCACGCUCUGGCACUGCAAACAGUUCCUCUUUCUGAGUGUUUUCUGUAAGAGUAACUGAGAUAAUCAAACCUUCAAAACAAAUAGAAGCAAAAAACCAACACUCAAACCGUACCUCAAAAUUUUAGGCACGGCUAUUUCCAACCUCCCUCGGCAAUGCUUAAGUGACCUGGGACUUCUCUGACAGCAGAAGUAGUAGGUGGAAAAAUUUCACAAAAAACCCAACAGCUCUCCUCCCCAAAAAAAAAACCCACAAAAAACAUUGCUAAAAGACAAUUUUUAAAGGUCAGAAUUAUUAUAAGGAAUUAAUUAUCAGACAGAAAAUGCUCAAAUUGCCUUAGAAAAUUUAGACACUGUGUAAGGCCACACGCUGCAAGGGGUGCAGCCACCUGCAAAGAAUUUGGACACUUUAACAGAAAAUAUGCCCUGCUCAGAACAGAGUUAGAAGAACAUAAUGACAAAAAAACAUGACUUCCCUAAAGUAAUUAAGAGAUGAUAGUGAGAGUAAAUAAGCUUUUGGAGAACAUAGUAUUAGUGAACCAAAUGAGAGCAAAUAAACCAUGAGUCAGGUUUUCUUCAAGUGCAGGAAACAGAAGGUAGCUAAAUCUGUUUUUUAGCAGGGGUACUUGAGAUGUUAGCAAAAAGCAGAAGUGUUUUUGCAAAGAGGAGAAAUUACAGAACAGAUUUAAUAUAUUUAUCAAUUCCUGAUCCCAAACAUUGCAAAACCAUCAAAAAUCUUUCCAGUGGCAUCAGUGACAUCUUCACAUGGCCCCUAGAGAGCUCAGGUAGGUUACAUAGAUUUCAGGGACAGGAGAUGCCAUGCAUUUCCAUUUCUAAGAGAAAUGGGAAAAAAAAGAAAUUGUGAAACAUUAUUUUUUGUCUUGCUCUUAAAUUCAAAGUAGAUCAAGGCUGGACAUGUAUUCCUUGCAAUUCAGAAGUUAUUUUACCACUUCUUUUUUGAUAAUGUGAUAUUGGCUAAAGAAAUACUUAGAUACUGAUUUGUGGGAGUUAUCUGCUUAUCUGGUAAUUCUAUGCAUAUUUUAACAAGAUAGUAGCUGUUGGAGGAGAGUGAUAAUCAGAUUCUAAGUUUUCUUCCUUUUUAUGGGACGCUGAAGUGCAGAAUCAAAACUGAAUUUUGAAGAUGUUUAUAUUUAGGGAACUGACUUCAUUCACUGUAGAUAGAGUAUUUCUGAAACUUGGAGUAGCAUUUGUUUUCCAUUUCUAGCCUCUCAGCUUGUGAAAGCACACAAUGCAAGGUAGGUGUGUAGAUGCUUCUGUACUCAACCUACAUAUAAAUAUAUAGACUUUAUAGGCUUUGUAUAUAAUAUACACAUAUGUAAAGACGUGUAUGUUUAUCUAUAUAUGCAUAUAUAAAUAUAUUCUUGUAGUAUUUGCCAAGAAAUGCUUGUAGUAUUGCAACAUUAUCUUAAGCUACCUGUUAAAAGUAGUGCAAACUACGGCUAAUUUGUCUUCUCAUUUGUGUGAAGAAAAUUCUAGUUAAUGUUUUACUAUGAAUUCUGUGAUAGAGUAUAAAAAGAGUUGGAAAGAGGAUACAUCUUCUAAAACAUGGAACAGGGAUUUCGAAUUUAACUCUGUCUAAUAUUUUUCCAUUACGAAUUUCCACUGAAUUGGCUCAAGAGUCUGAGAUAGAAACAGCUGAAGAUUUCUUUUUUUUUCCUUCAUUUUUGAUGGGGAGACAUAGAUUGAGGUUAGAACUCUCCAAAGAUUAUCCACUGAGUGCCAGCUUUUAAUGAAUCCCAUUUGUUUUCUUGAUUAAGUCUGCUAUUACCCCUGUUUAGUCUUGUCACGAGCCUAUUAGCUAGAAUUUUCAUAUCAUGGUUUAGAAGAGAAAUUAGCCUAGAAGAGCAGCACUCAUCAUCAGUCAAUUUUUAGUGUAUUUAGCAUAGUUUACAAUUUAUGAAUUCAGGAACCUGUAGCCUCACACAUACCUAUAUAAAAAAACCCAAACAACUGUUCUUUGUAGUGAAAUUCGUAGGCCACUAAGGGUAGCAGUCAAAUAUCAGUUUGUGGUGAUAACAUUGUAUAUCACUAAUGUACAUACAGUCACAAGGUCUCUUUGGUGAACCUGCAUCUGACAGGCUAUGUCAGGUCUAUGAUUUGUGCAGCAGAAGCUUCUUUAGGAAGAAUUGACUCUCAAAAGGUUUGACCUCUUAUUUUCAAAAGAUAAGCAUCUAGGAGGCUUACCGAGCCUUGUGGUCACAAAGUAUUCAAGAGCUUUGGGAGUGCUUAAAAGCCGUGUGAUGGGUACAGUGAAAAGUACACACAGGUGUAGCAGGGUUUUAGAAAUUCUUGACUUUCUUGAAAAUGUUGUAAGAAUAGCCCUUUGGGAAUUUAAAUAUCUCCAUCCCUUUUCAGAUUCUCUAAAUGAAAAGAGCGGUGUAGGGUGAAAUGUACUUUUUAAAUGACAUUUUGCAAAUUUCAAGAGAUGCCAUUUCAGCAUCUCUUGGAAGUGAAGACUUGGACAGUGGAAUUUGCAGAGCUGCCAUAGAAGUAUUUCAAUGCUGAAAAGAGCCAGAGGGGACUGCAGAUGAAUCAUGGGGUUGUACCUUGGCAUUACUCUGUAAUGGGAAACAUGACUUUACCAUGUACAUGGAAGCAAAGAUUGUAAAUAUUUAAACAUCAUGACGUUACUUAAUAUUACCCAUUCAAUGCCCUCUUUCUCUUUUCUUGUUUUCUUUGUGCCACUCUAAAUGACUAGGCUGGCCUGCUGGCAUUUCCAUUUUUUUCUUCUGCUUUUCUUCUUUUCUGCCUCCUUUUCUAUAAUUUCUGAAACAGUGUGGGGUCUUGAUCACUCUAUUUGCUUAGAGCUCCCACAUCACUUUGUAUUUGAUGAACAGUGCGAGAAGCAUCUAGUAAUCAAAGUGAAAAAAACUCCAAUUAUAUCACUGUUCCACAGGAGCUCCUGAAGAUGCCUGGAAGAAUUUGCUGCAUUUCUGGGCCCAAAAGCUGUUAUGGAGAACACCAGUUGGUAAUCACAGCUUUUUUUUUAUUAUUAUUAUUAUUAUUAUUAUUAUUAUUCUCAUUUUUCUUAGACUAAGUGAAUGAAAAUCCUUUGCUAUAUCCUUACCAGAGCUGGAUUGAGACCCAUUUUAUUACUAACCAAGUCUAAGUUGCUUAAUUUCUUGCCUGGAUGGAAAAGAAACACCAUUACAAAAUUAGUAAAUGACCAUGACUACCUCUCUGGAGAAUUAUCUCCUAAGAAUAAUUCAGAUGCUGUAAGAGAAAUGUACUCUCACAAAAAGCAGCUUUUCCAAACCCCUGUAGUUUCCCUGCACAAUAUUCUUUCUAGCUGCAAGUCUGUCUUCCUUCAGUAAAUGUAUUAUAACCCUUUCAGUCUGUUCUGCUUUACGUACUCGACACCAUGAAUCUCUAACAAGGUUAGGGGUGAGUAACAAUUUAAAUUACUUUCAAAUACAGCUGAAAAGCCUAUUAUAGAUGCAACCUUGAACUUUAAUUGUAUAAAGACAGCCAAUUCCUUAGCAUUCCCACAAGUGAUAGAGUUUCUUGCUUGUAAGUCUGCCGAGACUUUCUGGCUGUGUUGGCAGCUAUUUAUUCUGCCUCUAGAUUUUGAAAAAAGAAACGCAUAAGUUUAAAUACUAUAACAUUACAAUAUCUACUGAAAAUUGUAAUGAUGAAGGUUGUAACAUAUUUGAGUUGGAGAAGUCAAUCUGUUUAAUUAUAUGUUAUUCUUCCUGCUAUUUUACUAGGCUACACAAGAGGUUGCUGAAAUCCAGCAUUUGUUUUCAGAUAUACAUUCAUGCUUUUUAAGGAAAUGAUUGCAAAGAGUAGGAGAACCUUUGAAAUGAUGUUGCUCAAAGAUUCCCCAGCGUUGGCACAAACAAAGCAAAUAAGGGUAAGCUCAAAGGAUCCAUGAAAGGUAAACAAACACUCUCUUUAAAACUGGCUUAUAAUGAGUAAUGGGAAAAUCUGGGAAUGCUUUUGUGAUCUCGUAGUUUCAAACCUCUCUGGUACUUCUGGUUGAAAAAAUCACCACCAAAACAAGGAAAAAACCCAAACAGAAAACACCCCACACCCCAUAAAACACCAAAACCCACCAAAGUCAGUGAAUCUGGCUGGAAAACUUAUGAUCUGAAAGCUCUCUUCACAGGAACAAUAUCUCUGCCAUGGCCAUAGUCCUGGACUUGAUGGGAGGAUCACUUCCAGAGCUGAAAGUUUGUGCUUUGUACUCAAGGAAUUUCCAUUAAACUUUACAAUGAGGGGAGCUGAGGCAAAGGUGUUGAUGUCCUUAUGGAGGUGGAAAUGAGGCUGCUGCUUAUUCAAUGCAAACAGCUUAGAAACACAUCUCAAUCACUGGUAGCAACUAGGGGUCUGCUCAGUCCUGGAGUAGCUGUGUAAAGGACCAAGUGAAGUUUUCUUUGUUUUGUUUUCACCACCAAUGAGCUAUGUUAUCCCAGGGUUGUUAAGCACAGAUAUAAAAAUUUUGCCUUGAAUAUAUGUGAUCAUAUAAUUCACCUCUUGUUUAGAUAAGAAUAUAUUUAGCCGUCUCAAUCAUUUUCAUUAAAUCAAAGAUAAUGUCGUAUGAGUGGGUCUGUAGCUCCAAGAGAGCUACAAGAUGGAAAAGAGAACCCUGUAAUCCUUCCACUGCCUGCCAUGUCACUUGAACCUCUGAGCCACCGAUCCCUCUGUGGGAGCACAUUUGCUCCCCCUUAGUUGAAACUUUUAAAGACCUUUGUAGGCUUUAGUUUGAUACUAACUGUCAAUUUGGGCCAAGAUAUUCUAAUUCAGACUUAUUAUAACACAUAAAGUAACACUUGGAAAAAGAAAAUUGGAUUCAGAGUUGCACUGAAAUUUUGUAGUCCCUAGACAGAGAUUUGAGAUCUCUGUAUUUCCUCUUCAUUCAGAAAACAAGACACAAAUUUAAAAAUGAGGCACAUUUUGGAAGAUUAUUGUCUAAUUUUAGAAUUCAGCUAAUGAAAUGCAGCUAAGUAAAUACAGCACAUGAUAUUAAUUAGUGCUAAGAUGUAUGUCCUCUUUAGGAUACUUAUCAACAACAUUGGUGAGGAGAUGUCGGCAGGAGCACUGUGGUGUUAGCACUGGGAACAUGAUGUAAUGUUGCAUGCACCAAUCCUGAAUAAUAUUGACUUAUGCUAACUCCUAAAUUGGCUCAACCCGUUCCUCUUACCCAAAGCCUUCCCAUCUGGAAAACAGAUUAAUUUUUAAGAAGAAUGUAAGGAGACAGUCCUCAUGCUGUGGGCUUUUGACUGAUUAAACAGUCAUAUGCCAAAUCCCUUUAUGAUGCUACAGAAGGAAGAGAAAUUAAUAAGAAACUUACAAUUAAUAUACUACAUUGAACAUAAACAGUGUAGCUUUUCAGCUACAUAUCAAGCUACUAGAAACUUCUAAAAAUGCAAAGAAACAUUUUACUUCCUUAAAUGUUUUUUCUUUUGAGUGUUGAGCAAUUAUACAUCUUCAGUGGUUAAUUUUGCAAGCAGAAUAUUAAUAAUUCAUAAGUGUGUUAAAGGUAUUGAUCAUACAAGUGUUAGAAGCAUUAUGCUUGAGUUCCUUCUGUAAUCCAUUAAAAAAGGAAGGAAAUUGUUUCAGUUUUGUAUUAAAAUAUGAGACUAACAGGCUGUAGUUUAAAACAUAUGUAAAGCUGUUUUCCUGUUUAAACUUCAGUCAUCCAUUGUUGGUCUGGUGGUAACAUACAAGGAUUUGCUGGGACUCAGUCACAGGAAUUCAAACCAGAGGCUCUUCCUCCUUCUCCCAAUGCCAGCCCCAUGCCCCCCUCCUGCCCUGCCUGCGUGACCAGCCUGUGUGCCCACUCCCCACUCUGGGUAUAGCUCUGCUGAGAUCCUCUGGGAACCUUUGGGGGCUGACUUCAGUAGACAUGGCAGUAGAGCUCGAUUUCUUCUAUUUGUGGCUUCUUUCUGCACUUCGGAUACUACACUUGGAGGCCAACAGGUGCUGUGUAAAUUCUCCUGAGAAAAUGGGGGGAUAUCUGCUGUGGGACCAGAUCUAUAGCUUGUCUUCACUGUUUUUUACCAGCCCUGAUUGUUUUCUCAUGGCUGAGCACAGACACCAUAAACAUUGUAUUUAUGCAAGGUGAGUACUUGCAGCGAAGUCUGUAAGGCUUCUAUGGAUCCAGGAAUCUACCUGCCUGUGACUUUUUGCAGCAUCAGGGACUUAGUGGUUUCUUGACUUUGAAUUGUUCCCCCAAUUUUUCAUGGUUGCAUGAAUAAAGCUUUAAUCCUCAGCUCAGAAUUGUAGGAUGUUUGUGACAGGAACACAGGCAUUGAAACCGAUCACUGCAAUCCCUCUCUCCUAUUCCUGUUCUAAGGCAGAAGGAAGAAUGAUAUAAACCACAGGAAAUAAAUAAUUGGUGAAUAGUUUUAUUAAUCAAAUUCCUUCUGGACCACCAAUCUCAUUAUUUGUUUAUCAGCUAGGCUUCUACUAAAUCUAUUCACAAUUAAAAAAAAAAUUACCAAGUGAACAGUAUUGAACCGAUCCUUAAUUAGGGCAGCUGAAGUGUCUUGUAUAAUUAACUGGACUUUAUUCAUAAUUAUUUCCUGAUAGUUGGAAUUGUUUUCCACAAGUAACGGAGAAAUAGUAAUGGUAACACUAAGAAAUCUUUGAUUUUUCAGAAUAGAAUAAUGGCCAGGCUUACUGUGCUUAAGCUGUGUAAGACCUAUUUGUUCCCACUGAUAGCUAAAAGUAAUCAUGUCAGUUUGGCUGUACACAUAGGGAAGGGAAGUUUUGCAAAAUCAGUAGAAAUAAGUAUGCAUCCAGAUUUUUAAAAUGUGGCUUUUCUAACGUGUGUUUUACGAUGGUCAGUCUGGGGUGACUCCUUGGGCAGCCACACGUGAAUCCUGGCACAUCAGGAGCUUCCUUAACUCCUGUGAGUUUCCUUAACCAGAAACUGAGAGCUUAAAGCUACUGCCUGCCUAUGGCCAUGCUGAGUCCUGUUCAGGGAAAUAACCAAAAUCAGCUAUUGCUGAUACAACUGGGGUGAAAAAGCUGCAACUCGACAAAGAUCUGGAGCUCCUAACCAGCAGAGCCACUGGUGGUGGCCGCAGAGCUGUAGCCCCAUGGAUAGGGCUGGUUCUCCAGGAGGUGUGCCCCACACCAGUGGCCAUGCCAUACACUGCCAUCAGCACCACACACCCAGAGCCAGCAGACGCAGCACUCUCCGUGGAGCUAUAACAGGGAGCACAUGUUGGUUGGUAGCUCUAGAAACCUGCCCUGAUUUCUUAAGUUUAGCAAGAUCUCACUGAUAUAAGUGAUUAUUUGAGAGAGGCUGGGAAAGACAUAAUGCUGGAAACAAGGCUGACAGUUUUUAUUUGCAGUUUAUCUCUACUCCUUUUGUCCUCCCUUUUGAUGCUGGUUUAGGGCACAAAGCUGGAGGAAUGCUGCAGGAGUGCCAUACAUAGCCAUUCUUACUCUGGAGUACACCCAUCCCUCUGAUGGAAAGUUGUAGCAGAUUUCAAUGUAUGGACUCCUUGGAAGGAGGUGUUUGCUACAACACUGCCUCUGAUUUCAAAGAAUGAGUAUCUGCUUUACUCUGGGAAAAUAGUAGUCAUGUUACAACCCAAGGUUGUUUGGAAUUCAUUAUAAAGCUGCAUGAAAGAGCAUGUGGGUUAAACAGCUUCACUGCUAAUUAAUACCUUUACUCCUGACGAAGUAGCUCCUUGCUCCUGGGGUUAGGCAGAAUGUGAGAAGAAAAACAAACAGAAAGUUGUCUGCAGGCUCUUUCAGGACUGAAACAGCAUGUGAGUAUGUGUGAAGUGUAGGGAGACAAGCACCAGCACCAGAUGUAACUCACUGCCACCCAAUAGCAGUCGAGCACCCGACUCACAACAGCACCAAGGCAGUGGGACUGAACUUGUAUGAUGAAAAUAAGACCUCGUUUCUAAAACUCCAAAGUUCAGAAAACCAACAAGGGUUUUCUUUAUGUAGUUUUCUGUGAGAUUUGUUUAAUGUGAGUAGUCAUCCCCCGAGAGAUUUUGGACAGCGCUAUGUUGGGUUCAGGCUAGAAAACGCAGAAUGAAAGUUAUGAGAAUUACGCAUCUGUCUCUACUCUCUCUUCCUGGCAAAGAUUCCUCUAAUCUGCUCAUUUAUAAGGAACCUGGUGAAUUUGGCUCAUUGCUUUUGGAUCUUUGCCAACAGUGCAUCAAAGUCCAUAAGCAGUAGAACCCUUCCAGAGCGUGGAGAGGAGGGUAGAAAGAGAGAGUAAAAAGCAUGGUGUUCUGUGGUUCCCUGGCAAACAUUCCCCUUCACAUCCUGUUCAUGAAUCAACUGAUCCAUUACCUAUGCAUUUUAUGUUACUAACUAAUGUCUAAUUAUUUUUUUCACUGUUGAAUUCCUUGCAGCUCUCUUUAAAGUUUAGUAGGUAAGAAGAUUAAAACAUAAAUACCAUUAAAUAUGCUUUAAAUAUCAGUCCUAUUGAAAUAUUUCCAGGUUCUGUAUCCUCUUAAAAAAUAAUCCCCAUUCAAAACAGAGAGGAAAUGUCAUCUGCAUGAGCAUCUUUUGAGUUUAAGAUUGGAUUAUACAGGGAAUUAUGUAGAGUAGCUGUGGAAAUCUGAUAAUUAAAAAAACUUUGGACUCUUUUAUUUAUGACAUUUUAAACCCCUGUAACAUCUGGGGAAGUUUUCUGUGUUGUACAUGUGCUGUUAACCUCACGUGUAAAAUUUGCUUGUGUAACUUCAUAUGAAUCAGUGGCUGUAGAACCUGAAUUCAGAUUCAGUCAAACUGGAUUUGCUGGGAUUUGAAGGUGAUUCCUGGGCCUAAAGCUGGGGUGUGGGCAGAUCAGGAUGUUGCUCUCAGCCACCUCAUGGGAUGCACUCUGUCUUCAUAGGGCAGCCAGAGGUUAAUGUUAGCUCUUAUGAAAGUCCUCCCACAAUACCUCAAACAGAGAUCCUCAACAUUUCAGAGCCCAUUUAUUAACGAGCACAGUGAGUCUUGUGAGUCCCUCUGAAAAGGGCCAAGUGAAGUCCCAUUCCAGCCAUUCCAGUUCACACAUUUGAGUGUUGCAGAAAAAGGCUUGCAAAGGGUCAGGACAGGAUUUCUUGGCUGCCCCAAGCCUUGUAGCUUGUGUCCAGCACGGAAUGCCAAAGAAUCUGCAGGAUGCUUUCCACAGGUGUGCUACCAGAGCAGGGUAAUAAUGGGGUCCUUGCAUCAGUGUGAUGUGCCAGGGAACAGCGUUCAUUUCCAAGAAGAGCAGACAGGAUUUCUCUCCAAGGUCAGUAGAAAUUCUGCUUUGUGGGGCAGAGAGAGAAACCUUCACACUUUUUGCAUCAAUGCAUACACAGCACAGGCUUUGGCAAAAUGUCACAAGACACAGAGGAGAGUACUGAGAUUGACCCUGGAGCCUGGGUGUAGGCUCACCAUCUAGCCCUUCCCAGCACAGACCAGACCUGGACCACAAAAUGCAUGGUGACUCUUUCUCUGUGGUCACCUCCAUGGCUGAUGUUCAUCGAGGCUUGCUGAGGUGUGACUCCCCGUGCCUUUCCCCUCACAGCAGCUGAGCUGGAAGACGUCUGCUUAUGUAGAAAUGCUCCUGAAAAAUAUUGACCAGAGAAUUUAGCAUAAAUAUGCAAUGAAUCUAUGAGCUAGUGGGAAAUGUUAAAGCAAACAUGUUAAAGACACAGGCUUUCAAAACAGGUCAGGAAAAUUCUUAUUCCAGCAAGAGAGGACAUGCGCCUAUUCUUUCUUCAGCUGGCUAAGCAACAGCGGGAGUGUUUCCUACUAAACAGCCUCAUUAGCAUAAGAAUAACUACAGGGUAAAUUUUCAAGCUCAUUCCAAGUGAAUUCAAAGGGAGGGGGAAAAUAUUCUUUUAAUAUGUGCAACUCAUGCAAACAAUGAUAUGAAACUAAUUCAUUUCAUCAUAUUAUCACCAUAUCAUAUUAACUUAAAAGAAAUAAUAAUGCAACAUGGAAAUGUUUGCAUAUUAGAGAGAACUCUCAUUGUACCCUAUUAGCACCAUAUCGUAUUAGUAUUAGUAUUGCAUUAGGCUAUUAUGCUCCAGUGCUAAAAUGAUGAAAUCCCACUGUGAAAACUGAUAUUGAAUUCUUGUAAUGUUUCGGAACCAUUUUUAGCACUGCAUAUAAAUAAUUCAUGGGAGCAGAUCUAAUGAAUUGAUGAAAACCCCCCAUCCCUUGACAUUGUGAGAGUAUUUAUGAAUGUAAAGUCAUGAACAGCAUUAUUUUUUUUUUUUUUAAACAGAGAUGGGCUGGGACUGAAAUAUCUGGCUUAUCACUAGACCCAGCUUGCCCAUGUCACACAGAGCAUGAGGUUGGGUAGCUACAUUUCUCUGUUAACGUGGCAAAGGUGGUGUCUAAGAAGUGGCCUGUUCCAGGAUCAGAGGUGCACAGGAACUUUUGAAAUGUGCUGUCUCAGGGAACCCUCCAUGAUGUACUGAGACACCUGAGCAGUGAGACCCUGCCCAACACAGGGUCACUACACUAGUACCACUCUGGUCUGCCUGCAUUGGCUUCCUGAGUUGGUAAGAUCUAAGACUAAUGGCUAAUUGCUAAUGAGAAAAUAUGUAUUUAACUUGAAGGCUUUCAUGGAACUAGCCUUUCACUUACCCAGCAUUUGGUGCUAUGGUGUGAUUGUAAUGGUAGUUAUUAACACAGGCUGUGCUGAACUUUGUUUUAUAUAGAGGUAUUACUGGCAAACUGGAUCCCUUGACUCUUUAGGAAAGCAGAGAGCUGUAUGUUGAACUAGUGAGAAUUAACUCAGCCUGUAAGGGCCCCAUGACAAACAGCUGAAGCAGGCGGCAUUGCCCAUCCCUGUGCCUGGGAAAAGAGGGAGAUGUGCUGGCACAGGGAGCAGGUGAACUGUUACUUGAGCUAGUCACUGAUUUACGGUCUAAAUUACCAUCACCUCAUUCCUUUCUUGCUGCUCUCCAGCAUCUUUUGGCUUAUACUGCAGGUCUCUCCUGUCUCUCCUCUGUCAGCCUGCUUUUGUGUCUGUUCCCAUGCAGCACUAGGGACUCUUGAUCCAAACCAUGGUGCUGCACAAGCUAUAGGAGAAAUGGUAACACAGGACCCCUUCACAAAUCAGUUAGCUUCCUUCUCACUGAAACGUAAAUUGAGAGUAGGAGAUGCAGGGAAAGCAAAGUUGGAUUAUUGUUUCCUUUGCCUUCCAAAAGGACAUGAGGAUGCUGGCAUGUGGCAUACCCCGCCCACCAGGCUCAGAGAGAGGAGCCCUUCUGAGCCUGUGUAUGCCAUGUCUUGGAAUUUUAUUGUGCUCUUCAGGCUUGUCCUUUCUUCAUCAGUCUGGGAUGCAUCUGCUAUGCUUGCAGCAGGAAACAUAAAUUAGGUGGGGGGAGUGACUCUGGUUUCAGUGCAAGAGGCAGCGAUGUGGGGGAAGUUUCUCUAAAGGUCAUCAGGAGUCAUGCACUCUCAAUACUUUCCCCUGCUCUGGGAUUUCAAGGAAAAAAAUACAACAGCAAGUUAGGGGAUGGUUUUGGUUUGCAGGAUACAAGGUCAGUAUUAUGACCUUGUCCAGAGCAGAGAAGGAGCUGUAGGGAGUGACAUCCUAGAAACAGCAUUAUGCGGAGCAAGAGUAGGUGAAGAAAUAUGAACUGUAUCUUAUAACUCUUGAAAGACAUGCUAUACAUACGGCUGUUUGCUUUACAAUUGGGCUGAGAAAUGGAUCCAUUCAAGAGAAGUUUGAUAGUAGGGUAGUGGGGGAGUGUUUGUUUUCUCUCUGCUCAUUUUUUUUCCCCAUGCGCUGUUUUAGUUUUCCAUUCUUUCCUCCAGAAAAUACUACUGUGAUCAUUGCAGAGAUGCUGAAAGAGUUUUGCUUAGCUCCUAUUUUUUGUGUUCAAAACUUGAAAAAUUACAAGUGCUUGGAGUUUAUCCCAACCAGUUGAGCUGCUUCUAGUUUUCACUGGUGAUAUUAAAUUACACAUACGUUCCUAGUGAAAAUUAUUUCAGUUCUUCCUGUAGUCAGUAUAUAAAGUGGAUAAAUAACAUGCUAGAGGGCUGCUUUUUUUUUUUUUUAUGCUGUAUUUUUCUGCUAAGUUGAAUUCCAGACUUCACAUUUAUUUGUAAGAUAGGUAAAAGAAGGUAGGUAAAAGAGAAUUUUCCUCUGGAAGCUGGAGAGUUGCAGAGAUGGUUGUAUAUUCACCUAAUUCAUACUAAAAGUAAUGGAUUUUUUUCAUGUUGGUGUAUGAACCACAGUAGCAGCACAUGCCAUCUGUACACCAGCAAAUAAAAAUAUGUGCUUGUUUCAACAGAAUAUUUUUUACACAUAUAUGGAUAAAUAGAUAGAUAGGAAAUGGAUCCUAAGUUAACUAACCAGUCAGUAUUUUUUUUCUGUGCUGCCAAAGUAGUAUUUUAAAUAGAUUCAAGCAGCUUGUUGUGGCUUACGGAAUUUGUUUAUAUGGGUCAAUAUGGUCUAAUUUUUCCUGCGGGAGUUCUUCUCCAAUUAUAAUCAAGAAUCUUUUAGGUGAAUGUGACAAUUCAUGAAUUUUUCCAUAGCUAUAAAUAUCAGAUAUUUAGAAAACACACCUUAAUCUCCAAACAUUUACUGCUAUAACUACCACCAAAUGUUGUGGUAAGCUGGGAACAACUGUUGCUAGUGAAGAAUGCCAUAUUUUAUUGGAAAAGUGAGUCAGAACGUGGCAGAGAUGCUCCCUGUGCCCUGGGAGGACCUUGGAAGAGAUGAGAUGAGGAAAUGUAAAUCUGUGCUUUUACACACACAGGAGAGGGACAGGGUUGUGCUCAGUGCUGGCAGUUCCUGGGCUUGGUGAACAAACAACCCCCAGGGAUGGAGCCCAGGAGGUGGUUUGCAGUCGCUGUCACUAGGGCUUACUCUGAGCACUGCAGAGGCUACACCCCCAGUUGCUCUCCCACCUGUCCUUGAUGGUGGCAGCUACCAGGCUGCAAAGGGGUGAGCUCCAAUUCUGGAAAAAUGUGAUGUCCUCUGCCUACGAGGUAAGCUGCCUCUUGUGAGCUGUUUGCCAGUCAGCAGUUAUGGCGUAUCCUAAAUUUAAGAAAUGCUUUUUACAUUAGUAAAUAAAAAUUGCCAUAUGUUUUAUUAAAAUUCUGGAUGUUGCAGUGAGAUAUCUAAUAGGAAAUACUAUUGCAGAUUGAACUGUUUCAGUGCUGGAAUUAUUUUUGACAUUCAUGAACAGCUCUUUCAGUGGCAUAUUAGAUUUCCCACAGAGAGACUGGUAUUCGAGCAGCCUACUGUUUUCUGGGCACCAGUGUUCAUGUCUAUUUGCCACUCUAAAAACCUUCUUUAAUCAUGAGUUUGGAGCUUAGAUUUUGUGUCUGCUCCUUGUGAAUGAAUAAGACUGGUGCGAUUCUGCUUUUGCACUUCCUUGGAUUUGGCUGCUGUGGGGAUGGUAAUGGUUGCCGUGUUAAGUUAGCAGCUCCAAGAUGUGUUUGCUAUUUCAGUAUCACCACAGCUCUAUGCUUCCCAUCAUCCCCCAUAAAUGAGGACUGCAGAACUCCUCCCUGCUGCUGCAAGUUUUGGUCCCAAUGCAGGUGAGGGAUACACAUCUGCAUGGCACAUUGCAGUAGGGUAUCAAGAAUAGCCCAGUGAGGCUCUGAAAGAGCCAUCAGAUUUACAGAUUCCCCUGCUUUUUGGGUAGCCUGAAUCUCUGUACAUUUCCCUGAAGUGCAGACGCACUCCAGUGAUAACUGUGUUGUAUUGCUCUAGGAAAAAUUCUUCUUGUGUGUGCUGUACUCCUUCAUCUUGCCAGGAAUCACUGAGAGACCAGGGCAGGGGGCAGUGUCCCAGACUGUUCCCCUGGAUAUCUGUCCAACCUUUUUUCUUCCUUAUCUCUGAUACGUCUCUCCCAUACAUCUCCUAUAGUCUUUGUUUCCCUGCUCAUUCAUGUUUCUGAUGCCAAAAAUCUAAAGCCGGACCCCCAGUAGUAUUGACCUCCUUGUGCCUGUCUCUGUUUCUAAAUAGCAGGGGGGAGAAUUUCUAUCAGAAUCAGAAAGUAUACAGGUUGAAGAUGUCUGUAGCUGUGUGUGAGCUGGAUUGAAAACAGCUCAGCUCCUUAAAAAUUCAGUUGGGUUUAUCAUGGUGAACAGAGCAAACUUGUCUUGUUUUCCAGAGCAUCUCUCAAACAAGUGUGCACUCAGCCAUGAAGACAGGCCUCAAUCUGCACUCUCAAGCUGGGCCUGUGAGCUGAGGUCCCCAGGAGCUGGGGAAGCCUGAAUCCAGUGUGGCAUUGGUGCUUCUGUCUGUCUGUCCAAGGUGCAGCAGGAGGGAGGUGGUGUAGCAAUGAGGUGGGAGACAACCUCUCUUCUCAGCACCUGGCAGGACCGUGGCGGUGAGCCCCGCCACCACGCACAGACAAAUGUAAAAGUGCCAUCGCUGUGUUCUGAGGGGUAAAAACAAUGAGUCUGCACAAGCUGCCUUUGGUUUUCGGGAAACAAAAGGCAUGGUUUUAAGAGGCUCCGGGAAUCUGAGCAGUUCUUCAGAGCAUUUGCUUUAAAAGAGGAGGAGUCAUCAGCAUCAUCUGUUUUUUGUUUUAAGUUUUACAAGUGCUUAUCUGAAGAAAUGCUAAAUGAGCUAUGCCAUGUCAAUGCUGGAAAGAUUUCAUUACAUGGAAGAAUUUUAAGUGCUCAUUUACUGCACAUGAAAAUGAAAAAUUUCUCAGAACAGUGACUCUCUUCAGCAUCUUUGUUAUUUGAAAGAAACACCAAGAGUGGUGCUGUGAUAGGGACAAGCAUAAAUUUGUCAACUGGUGGUGAAUGUCAAGGCUAUCCUGGGGAAGGGUAAGGAGAAGGGUGGCAAUGUAUUGGGUACAAGAAAUGCUAGGAAGUGCUGUUUGUGAGGGCGGAAGCAGAAAUGCCCUUUAUCUGUGGCAUGUAUUAUGGGUUUCUCUUCCUUUAGGCGAGCAACAGUAAUGGAAGUGAUUGCGAGGGGACAAAAUUGUGCAUGUGAAAUGGGUCUUAGGCAGGUGUUGAGGUGAAUCUGAAAACAGAGUCGAUAAGCUGAAAGGUUAGACUUUUAGAGGGAUGGUAUGAUUAUGUUGGUGCCCAGUUCAUUAAAAGAGCAAGGAGGGAGCUGCAUCCAUGGAUCAGUGUGUGUAUGGGUGGACUCCGUAUUACUGCUGGAUUUACAUUCAGUUGGGCCUGGACAGAAUUUUCUGGCUCUGUGGAAGGAGGCUGAUAUGUGGAAAGAAAGCAAUGGCUUGGGAAAGCAGACCCAAAAUUGUCAUUGGGAGCAUAGCCCAAAUCAUGGCCUGGCCCUGCUUUUGGUGAAUUCUCAGGAAAGGCUUACGCUGUUUUGAGAGCAGGACUCACCUGGUAACGCAGAGGGACAGCCCAAGCCAUAGCAGGAUCCUGGCAAGCCGAAGAUGCUCUACACCUUCUCCAGCACAAGCCUCUGCCAAGUAACACAGCAAAGCCAAUGGUAGUACACCUAUGGAUUUCAUAUGGAUUUCAUGCAGCUUUAACAGGCUUCUGCACAGAGGAAACAUUUUGCAUUUGGCAGAACAAUAGCUGAAUUGCUCAAAGUCCAAUUACAAUCAAAUCUUGCUAAUUUGUGCCCAUAACUGGAGAUUCAGUGAGAAUGACAAAACUUCUGCAAUUUACGGAGUAAGUGGUACACACCCUUUAAGAAGUGUGGCUAAUGCAUUACAGAAUUCAUUAUCACCUUACAAACUUCUUCACACUCUGGAAAAGAAUGAAUGCUCUUAAUUAAUUUAUUUUGACAAGGUUUGUUUCUUAAACAUCUUUUGUUAUAGCUGACAAGUUUGUACUGUUAAAAAAAAGAAGUAAUGAAUUGUAACGAAGGAGACAUUAUAAUAGACCUUUUUAGCAAGCCUGUGCCAUUUUUUCGGCUACAGCUUGUGGCAGGCAUGGAUAGAAGUGAUCAUGUGGCACUUCACCCUGCUCACAAAAGCUGCUGAGGUAGCUGGUGCCUGGGAAGUCCUUUCUGCAAAACAGCAAUAGCAGUGACUCCAUUUGUCUUUCUACUGGGGAACUGCUGCUUUAAAAAAAACCAAAAAACCCCACACCAACAGACAACAAAGUAGACAAACAAAAUAGCUCUCAUUUGGCAUAAUAUCUUUGGGAGGAAAAAGAGUAAGUUAAAAAGGGAUCAUUUCUAUAAUGAGGAGGGUAUCUCUGCCGCUCUGAGAAUGUGCACAUGGAAGAAGUUAUGUUACUACUCUUAAAAUCCUAACGUUUUGUUCACUGCUAACGUAUCUCAUUGAAUAAGAAAUAGAGUUUGGAGGAAAAUAGAUCAAAUUUGCAGGUCAGAGGCUCUGCAAAAAUGGGAUUUGAACCUAAGCGCAGCAACCUUGAGGCAAGGCUGCCCUUCCUUGAAUGCCAGAUGUGCAGUGAGGGUAAUUACCAUGGCCCGCGCCAGUGCUCUGAUUCGGGUGGUGAGUGAGGCAAAGGUCAGCUCCUGGCAUGAAUCUUCAUGCGGAUACCUGGGCUGCCCCGGGCUGCAGACUGGCGUCUGUCUUUCUUGCCAGCAGCACUGUGGUCUCAGGUACCUGUAUCUGCCUGUGUACUGCUUGUAAAUCUAUAAUUAAUUACCGUAGGUUAAACAGACUGAGGAAAUAACCAGAGCCUUUUUGAGGAAAUGUAAUUGUCAAUAUAGCAAGACCCCUGAAUUACAGAUUCAGCAAUGAUUGCUAUUACAGAGAUGGCAUUAGAUGAGUAUCAUUUUGUCAAUUAACCUUUUACAAUUCAUAGUUUAUUAUAGCCUAGAACAAUCCAUUUUUAAAUACUUUUUUUUUAAACAUGACUCUUGCUGCUUUAAACACUUACUACCUGCUCUUUAGCCUUUGAACAUAGACUGCUAUACUUGCUCAGCAUAAUGUAUAACCCUAGGUCACAAAGCUAAAGCAAACCCUUUUAAUUUAUGGAGGAUUUCAUUUUAGGAGAAUAUUUUUAAGAAUUUCCUAACCUUCUGAUGGCACAUCAGGCUGGCCAAGGAUACAAAUGUAUCUGUGUUCCUCGGUCCAAACACUUUACCCUACUAUAAUUUAAGCUUUUAAUUUCAUAACCUACAGUGCCAUGGCUACUUAGCAAAAGAAAAAAGCAUUCUUAGUCUAGACUGUGUGUGUAAUAGAGAAUUCUGCUACAGCUGAUAAAAUGACAAUGACAAAGUAAUUAUCAUAAAAAUUAUUCUUUUCUAAAAAUACUCUACUUUUAAAAUAAAAUUUCUAUUGUAGGAAAGGGAACAGACAGUAGUUUUGAUGAAAAACACUUGAACAAAUGGUGAUAUGGUUUCUUUGCUACAUAAAUACAAUUAUUUUUCUGAUAGAAAUAGUGCUGCUGUAGCUGCAAUGGUAAAAGGAUAGGAGAGAGGAAAGGUUUGCAGAGAGAGGUAAUAUUUUUUAUUAGAACAAUUGAUAUAGUUGAAAAAAAAAGCAGAAACGCUUUCAGAGAGCUUGUGUGUCUGAGAGCUUGUCUGUUUUUUUUUCUUCCCCAGCUAUAUCAGCUGGUCUAAUAAAAGAUAUUCUCUCUGCCUGCAAACCUUGCUGGUUUUGUAUAUUGCUGUUUCUGUGCAUGUGAUUUGUCCACUCAGAGGACAAAGAAUUCUACAAUUCUUAAAACUGGUAUAAUUCAGUAAAAAUGGAUUAUGAAAUACUAAAAAAAUUAAAAUGCUUCCUUCAAAUGCUGAGAACUUGGGAUUGGCUUUGUGUUUGAAAGAGAAUAAUUGCAACCCAUGAAGGAACUACACACAUACGAUAAAAUGUGGUCAACUCUUCCUUUCAGCAGCUUUGAAGCAGCAGUAAUCUAACAAAGCACCUUGCUCUUGCUGUGCUGACAAUGAGUCCAGUGUACAAAAAAAAGAAAUUAAACAAAAAAAGACAUUUUAAUUUCAAGGUUCACUGGAAAAAACAUGAAAAAAAAAAAAUCAAUGUUUGCCAAAGAGAAAGACAAACUCUGAAGGGAAAUGAAAAAAUGUAUUUACAAGAUUCAAAGAGAACUUUAUAAAUAAUGGGACAAUAAAAAAAAAGGAAAUAAAAUAUUUGUUCCUCUUAACUCUAAAUAUGCAGGUAAUAUUCUCAAUAAAUCUAGCACACAAAAUGGAUUUAAGGAAUCAUCCAAUUAUAUUGUUAUAAAGAAAUUAUUAUGAAAAGCAAAAUAACCUUCAAAUCAAAGGAGUGUUUGGAGCAGUUACAUCUCCACUGCAUGGCUGUAUCACCUCAGGUCUUGAAGGAGGCUUGGAAACGUCCUCAGGUUGCCCUCAGGACAGGCAGGGCUCCUGCACAGCUCCAUGCCCCGGUUGCAGUGGCCCUGGACUCAUGGAGCAUGUGUGCACAGGUAGGUGCUUCUGACUUUAGGACAUGCUCAAGCCAUUCUGCUUGGGGCUCCCAGGGCUUGUGCUGUGCCCUUGGCCACGUCUGAGCUCUGUGGUACCUCAAGUCUGGCUGUGGGGGCUGCAGCCACCCCCGUUGCAGCAAGAAUGAGGUCCUCCACAGUGGGCAGCCCCAUGCAUGCUCACCCACCUGCCCCCGGGUCCUGGCGUGGUGCCUGUGCACACCCAGCCAUGGCACAGAGUGCUGCCUGAUGGGUGCCUGCCCAGGGCAGGCUGUGCUGUCAGGCCGGGCUGGCUGCCACUGCACAGCUACUGUACACGGAGCCUGUAGAGAGAGCUACAGCUUCAGCUAUGCAGCAGCACAGCCCCACUGCUCCUCGGCUUCCAACUAACAACAGCUGGUAGAACUGAACAUUUUAGCAUUUAAUGUUUUAUCUAAAUUAACGCCCUUGUUGCCAUUGCGUGUUCCUGGAGCUGGGAUGAGAGUGGUGAGAGGGCUGCAGCCGAUGGAGAGGAGCAGAGGUGGGGCAGCAGCAUCUCCUCACCACUCUAGAUGGAGGCAUUUGUGGCUGGCUGUGAAACACCUGCAUCCCUGAUGCUGUACUGUGCCCCAACAAUGCCUGUGAACACAGGCCAGGCCUGCAUGCUACACAGGACUGACUAAUUAACUGCAAAUGGGUUUUGAUUAGAUCCCCCCAACAUAUGGCCUUCUCCAGUGGGUAAUUCAGGAAUGAGUAGGGUCAGCCUUGGGACUGUGGCAAGGGGCAUCAGGGUAACACCUUCCCUGCCUGCACCUCCCAAGGCUGCUUUCCUCUGAGAUUAAAUUGAUUUUCCACAAGCACUAGCAACCAGGAUCAGACCCGAUCUCUAUACCAGGUCUGUAAUGUCUUUCUCCCUAUUAGUUUUCUGAUACUCAGCUAUCAGAGCUCUCAGUAAGAAUGUUUGUGUCUUAUAUAUACUUUGUCUGAUAUACAAAAUAUUUUAUAAACUUUAUCCAUUUAAUUCUCC